GGAUCUUGACAGCAAGAGCAAGAGCAAAAAUGGAGAUGGUAAAAGUAAAAGCAACGGAGGAGGAGGAGGCAAGAAAGGUGGAGGUAAACUUGAUGGGUCCCAUGACUUUAAGCCAAUGAAGAAUCAAGGUGGUGGGUUUGGUGAGACUGGUGGCAAUAGUUAUGGUGGUAGAAAUAUGACCCAUAUGGGAGCCCCCCAGAUGGGCUCAAUGAGCAAUUAUGGUCCUCCUGCUGCUAUGCAGGGAAUGCCUGUGAUGAACCAUGGCGGUGGCCGCAACGGUGGAGGAGGAGGAGGGUACUACAAUCCUUAUCAAGGGAUGGGGCAAGGAAACC
rnacentral:lncRNA from 1 species